UCCCUCACAUAUUCCGCAACAUGGACUGUUUAAUGAGAUGACCCACAUCGAUUGAUUUUCCUUUAAUGACUCCAUAUAGUAUCAUGGCACGCUCCUUAAUGACAUCAUUUUGGUGCCGAGUUGGGAGCCGACUAGCACAAAUGAAGUUGUACCAUGCCUUUGCAUAUCGACUCAAUGCUGUGUGCGAAAAAUGGAUCUUUUGGCCAGUCUCCUGUUUGGCAGUCCACUUUGUACCCUGCUUGCACAUUUCCUCAAUCAGCCUAUCCAAGUCGCGCUGGUACUCUACCCAUUUACGUCAUUUGAUGGGAGAGUUUCCAUAUGAAAUAGAUCAUUGAUGCUCUUCUUGGAGUAAGACGUCUGUUUAUCGCGCACAAAGGAAAUCCCACUCUGCGUCUCUCGUGCAUUCACGUAGAACUCUCGGACCAAUGCCAUCGGGGCUGCCAAAGCUGUAUCCAUGAAUAAUGCCUAACCAUUUCCCCUUAUCAUCUCUAACAUC
rnacentral:lncRNA from 1 species